rnacentral:rRNA from 1 species
AGGCUGAACUGGCACUUGGAGAAGUGGCAAGUCUUCCAGUAUGGGGAGCAAAACAGCUAUGGGUCAAGUCCGAUAUCUUUAGGAGAAGUCUUAUUGUGAGGGCGAGUUAUAUAACACCAUAGGACUGGCCGUCCCAUAUGAAAAGAUUAUAUUAGAAUUGAAUGAAGCUUUGUUUAUAUAUUGAUAAUGACAGUAUAUAUAUCGUGUCUUGACUAAUUGCGUGCCAGCAGUCGCGGUAAUACGUAAGAGACUAGUGUUAUUCAUCUUAAUUAGGUUUAAAGGGUACCCAGACGGUCAAUAUAGCUUAUAAAAUGUUAGUACUUGACUAGAGUUUUAUGUAAGAGGGCAGUACUUGAGGAGGAGAGAUGAAAUUUCGUGAUACCAAAGGGACUCUGUAAAGGCGAAGGCAGCCCUCUAUGUAAAAACUGACGUUGAAGGACGAAGGCACAGAGAACAAACAGGAUUAGAUACCCAAGUAGUCUUUGCAGUAAAUGAUGAAUGCCAUAGGUUAGAUUGAUCAAUUAUAGUCUAGGGUUAGUCUAGCAAACUAAUGCCCUAUGAUAUAAUUCAAAAUAUCUGGUCUAUAAAUGAAAGUGUAAGCAUUUCACCUCAAGAGUAAUGUGGCAACGCAGGAACUGAAAUCACUAGACCGUUUCUGACACCAGUAGUGAAGUAUGUUAUUUAAAAAAAAAACUCCCACACACA